GGAAAGACCCCGUGAACCUUUACUAUAGCUUGACACUGAACAUUGAGCCUUGAUGUGUAGGAUAGGUGGGAGGCUUUGAAGUGUGGACGCCAGUCUGCAUGGAGCCGACCUUGAAAUACCACCCUUUAAUGUUUGAUGUUCUAACGUUGGCCCCUAAUCGGGGUUGCGGACAGUGUCUGGUGGGUAGUUUGACUGGGGCGGUCUCCUCCUAAAGAGUAACGGAGGAGCACGAAGGUUGGCUAAUCCUGGUCGGACAUCAGGAGGUUAGUGCAAUGGCAUAAGCCAGCUUGACUGCGAGCGUGACGGCGCGAGCAGGUGCGAAAGCAGGUCAUAGUGAUCCGGUGGUUCUGAAUGGAAGGGCCAUCGCUCAACGGAUAAAAGGUACUCCGGGGAUAACAGGCUGAUACCGCCCAAGAGUUCAUAUCGACGGCGGUGUUUGGCACCUCGAUGUCGGCUCAUCACAUCCUGGGGCUGAAGUAGGUCCCAAGGGUAUGGCUGUUCGCCAUUUAAAGUGGUACGCGAGCUGGGUUUAGAACGUCGUGAGACAGUUCGGUCCCUAUCUGCCGUGGGCGCUGGAGAACUGAGGGGGGCUGCUCCUAGUACGAGAGGACCGGAGUGGACGCAUCACUGGUGUUCGGGUUGUCAUGCCAAUGGCACUGCCCGGUAGCUAAAUGCGGAAGAGAUAAGUGCUGAAAGCAUCUAAGCACGAAACUUGCCCCGAGAUGAGUUCUCCCUGACUCC
rnacentral:rRNA from 1 species